UCGGAGAAGAUUGUGUAUGGACACCUGGA
rnacentral:piRNA from 2 species